rnacentral:rRNA from 1 species
CCUACGGGAGGCAGCAGUGGGGAGUUUUCCGCAAUGGGCGAAAGCCUGACGGAGCAAUACCGCGUGAGGGAUGACGGCCUAUGGGUUGUAAACCUCUUUUUUCAGGGAGGAAUCAAUGACGUGUACCUGAAGAAUAAGCAUCGGCUAACUCCGUGCCAGCAGCCGCGGUAAU